CUUCGGGGUUCCUGGGUGUCAUGCAGAUCUCAGUGAGACCUCCAAAUGAAAGAACCUAGUGGGGAAACCCCCACGCAACUCCGAUUCAGCAUGCAUCCAAGAAUCACGAACAAACAG
rnacentral:pre_miRNA from 7 species